AUAUGCCUUAGGGUGGGGGACAACAGUUGGAAACAACUGCUAAUACCGCAUAACGUCUACGGACCAAAGGGGGCUUCGGCUCUCGCCCUUAGAUUAGCCCAAGUGGGAUUAGCUAGUUGGUGAGGUAAUGGCUCACCAAGGCGACGAUCCCUAGCUGGUUUGAGAGGAUGAUCAGCCACACUGGAACUGAGACACGGUCCAGACUCCUACGGGAGGCAGCAGUGGGGAAUAUUGCACAAUGGGCGCAAGCCUGAUGCAGCCAUGCCGCGUGUGUGAAGAAGGCCUUAGGGUUGUAAAGCACUUUCAGUAAGGAGGAAAGGUUAGUAGUUAAUACCUGCUAGCUGUGACGUUACUUACAGAAGAAGCACCGGCUAACUCCGUGCCAGCAGCCGCGGUAAUACGGAGGGUGCGAGCGUUAAUCGGAAUUACUGGGCGUAAAGCGUACGCAGGCGGUUUGUUAAGCGAGAUGUGAAAGCCCCGGGCUCAACCUGGGGAACUGCAUUUCGAACUGGCAAACUAGAGUAUGAUAGAGGGUGG
rnacentral:rRNA from 1 species